GUGGGGAAUCUUGCGCAAUGGGCGAAAGCCUGACGCAGCCAUGCCGCGUGAAUGAUGAAGGUCUUAGGAUUGUAAAAUUCUUUCACCGGGGACGAUAAUGACGGUACCCGGAGAAGAAGCUCCGGCUAACUUCGUGCCAGCAGCCGCGGUAAUACGAAGGGGGCUAGCGUUGCUCGGAAUUACUGGGCGUAAAGGGCGCGUAGGCGGACAGCUUAGUCAGAGGUGAAAGCCCAGGGCUCAACCGUGGAAUUGCCUUUGAUACUGGCUGUCUUGAGUUUGGGAGAGGUGAGUGGAACUCCGAGUGUAGAGGUGAAAUUCGUAGAUAUUCGGAAGAACACCAGUGGCGAAGGCGACUCACUGGCCCAAUACUGACGCUGAGGCGCGAAAGCGUGGGGAGCAAACAGGAUUAGAUACCCCGGUAGUCC
rnacentral:rRNA from 1 species